AUUGAACGCUGGCGGCAGGCCUAACACAUGCAAGUCGAGCGGAUGAAGGGAGCUUGCUCCUGGAUUCAGCGGCGGACGGGUGAGUAAUGCCUAGGAAUCUGCCUGGUAGUGGGGGAUAACGUCCGGAAACGGGCGCUAAUACCGCAUACGUCCUGAGGGAGAAAGCGGGGGAUCUUCGGACCUCACGCUAUCAGAUGAGCCUAGGUCGGAUUAGCUAGUUGGUGGGGUAAAGGCCUACCAAGGCGACGAUCCGUAACUGGUCUGAGAGGAUGAUCAGUCACCCUGGAACUGAGACACGGUCCAGACUCCUACGGGACGCAGCAGUGGGGAAUAUUGGACAGUGGGCGAAAGCCUGAUCCAGCCAUGCCGCGUGUGUGAAGAAGGUCUUCGGAUUGUAAAGCACUUUAAGUUGGGAGGAAGGGCAGUAAGUUAAUACCUUGCUGUUUUGACGUUACCAACAGAAUAAGCACCGGCUAACUUCGUG
rnacentral:rRNA from 1 species